UGAUCAGUCCUGACUUUUCCCGGAUUC
rnacentral:piRNA from 1 species